rnacentral:ncRNA from 1 species
GGGAAAGUGAAGAAAAGGACAAGAGUUAUUAUGAACGGUUUUCAGAGAGGGAGGGAAGGUGAAAUCCUCCCAACGCAGCAUAAUAGCUUACCACCUUGGAGCUGUAUGGAUGAAAGAAAAAGUAGUUCAUACCGUAAUGCUACGUUACAGUAAACCAAAGCCAUUCCUUUGGCAAGGGAAUGGGAACUUGGGUGGAACCGCGGGUAAAACAUACUCGUCCCUUAU